UACGUAGGGUGCGAGCGUUAUUCGGAAUUACUGGGCGUAAAGCGUUCGCAGGCGGUUUUUUAAGUCAGAUGUGAAAUCCCGAGGCUCAACCUCGGGUCUGCAGUCGAUACGAGCAAACUAGAGUGUUGCAGGGGAGACUGGAAUUCCUGGUGUAGCGGUGAAAUGCGCAGAUAUCAGGAGGAACACCGGUGGCGAAGGCGGCGACCUGGGCCAAUACUGACGCUGAGGUGCGAAAGCGUGGGGAGCAAACAGG
rnacentral:rRNA from 1 species